rnacentral:rRNA from 1 species
UACGAAGGGGGCGAGCGUUGUUCGGAAUUACUGGGCGUAAAGGGCGCGCAGGCGGCCUUAGAAGUCAGAUGUGAAAGCCCCGGGCUCAACCUGGGAAUGGCAUUUGAUACUCUGAGGCUGGAGUACGGGAGAGGAGAGUGGAAUUCCCAGUGUAGAGGUGAAAUUCGUAGAUAUCGGGAGGAACACCUGUGGCGAAAGCGGCGCACUGGACCACAUCUGACGCUGAGGCGCGAAAGCUAGGGGAGCAAACAGG